rnacentral:rRNA from 1 species
GACGAACGCUGGCGGCGUGCCUAAUACAUGCAAGUCGAGCGAAUCAAUAGGAGCUUGCUCCUGUUGGUUAGCGGCGGACGGGUGAGUAACACGUGGGCAACCUGCCUGUAAGACUGGGAUAACACCGGGAAACCGGUGCUAAUACCGGAUAAUCCUUUUCGUCACAUGAGGGAAAGCUGAAAGUCGGUUUCGGCUGACACUUACAGAUGGGCCCGCGGCGCAUUAGCUAGUUGGUGAGGUAACGGCUCACCAAGGCGACGAUGCGUAGCCGACCUGAGAGGGUGAUCGGCAACACUGGGACUGAGACACGGCCCAGACUCCUACGGGAGGCAGCAGUAGGGAAUCUUCCACAAUGGACGAAAGUCUGAUGGAGCAACGCCGCGUGAGCGAUGAAGGCCUUCGGGUCGUAAAGCUCUGUUGUUAGGGAAGAACAAGUACCGGAGUAACUGCCGGUACCUUGACGGUACCUAACCAGAAAGCCACGGCUAACUACGUGCCAGCCGCCGCAGUAACAC